UUUAUCGGUUAUUUGAAAGAAUUUAUUUUUAUCUUUUUGAUCGAGAAAUUGUAGCUUGAAAUUACUAGACGACCAAAAUUUCUUGAUUGCUUUGACCAAGAAUGAUUGCUAGCUGAGUUGGGAGAGCGCUUAGAAACUGUGAAGCCAAAAUAUGAGGAUACCCUUAGGGGUUAUUUGGCCCUCACUUCGGAAUCAAGUGGGCUUGACAUUUAAUGCCAAGCUCAUGUUUGGUCCACAAUUUGAAAGCAAGGGAUUAACAAAGAGUGUAAAUUGGGGGUUUCAAUAUUUUUACAAAAUAAAAAAGAAAAAAAAAUCUCUAUUGUCUUUCUUCCAGAUCUCUCAUCGUCUCUCUCUCCAUCUUUUAUUCAUGUUCUCAUUCAAACCCUAGGUUCUUCUUCUUCUCUACGUCUUUUCAUCUCCUCAUUUUUCUCUUCUUUCGUCAAGAAUCUUUCGGCGGAGGUCUUCUUUUCUUUUUCUCAUACAAAGAAGCAACCGUAAGAGAUGCUUUUUUUGGCGGUUGAAAUCAGAUUCCGGCAGAGGAAAGUCGAAUCCCCACAGAGAAAAGACAGAUUUAUUCGCGGGUGAGAAAGGUGGAUAUGCUUGAAGGAGUUUCAAUUACCCGAUCUGAAAAAGUGAAGGAUGAGUUAAUUUUGGAUGGAAAUGAUAUUGAACUUGUGUUGCGGUCUUGUGCACUUAUUAACUGGAUUUUUCUUCUUCACUCUCACAUACAAAGUUCAUUGCACACUCAAAUCAUUCAGUGAAUUAUUCUUCUUUGCCUUAUUUUGCUGAAAUGUCAUGUCAAGAACAAGGAUAUACGGAAGUUCCUUGAUGGUAUCUAUGUCAGCCAGAAGGGAACCAUAGUUGGAGUAGAUGAGUGAUUAAUGCAAUUGUAGGUUAUAUCUGCACUUAGUUUCAAGAGUUUGUUCUCUUCCGAAAUUGUUUCUUUUUUUCAUAACUAAUAGAUGUAAGACACUUGUUGAAAUGAGCUCACAGACUACACAAGAUAUUGAGGAAGAUGACAUGAACAUUAAUCUUGAAGACUUUGAUAUUCCAAAUCCACAUGGACUCGAGCCACCUUCGGGGGAGGACAUGCCAUCCACUCCAACAAGUAUGGCACAUGAUGCAGGAUCAUCUAGGCCAAGAAAGAAAAGACGGUCAUAUUCAGGGGACCUCGUGGACACAUUUCGCACAAGUAUGCAAGAAACUUCCAAGGAAAUUGGAAAGAUUGUUGCAUGGUAGAGAGAAAAAAUGGAAAUAGAAUCAUCCCUACACAAACGAUUAUAUGCUGAAUUACAGACUAUUCCUAGAAUGGACGUGGACGAUUAUUUAAUUGUAGUCUAGUAUCUAUUACCUGAUCCCAUUAUGUUGCACGCAUUCCAUGACUACCCAGUAGAAUGGAAGUACAAAAAAUGCUUGCGUAUCUUAGGAAGGCAACCAUAACCAUAGCUAAAUGUAACUUUACUUGACUUUAAUUCACUUUUGUUUGACCCA